UCAGGACGAACGCUGGCGGCGUGCCUAACACGAUGCAAGUCGAGCGAGGAGAUUCCUCGGGAUGAUCCUAGCGGCGGACGGGUGAGUAACACGUGGGCAACCUGCCUCAUAGAGAGGAAUAGCCUUCCGAAAGGGAGAUUAAUACCUCAUAACAUUGCAGUUUCGCAUGGAACAGCAAUUAAAGGAGUAAUCCGCUAUGAGAUGGGCCCGCGGCGCAUUAGCUAGUUGGUGAGGUAACGGCUCACCAAGGCGACGAUGCGUAGCCGACCUGAGAGGGUGAUCGGCCACAUUGGGACUGAGACACGGGCCCAGACUCCUACGGGAGGCAGCAGUGGGGAAUAUUGCACAAUGGGGGAAACCCUGAUGCCAGCAACGCCGCGUGAGUGAUGACGGCCUUCGGGUUGUAAAGCUCUGUCGUCAGGGACGAUAAUGACGGUACCUGAGGAGGAAGCCACGGCUAACUACGUGCCAGCCGCCGC
rnacentral:rRNA from 1 species